AACAAGCAGCGAAAACAUCCCGUGAUAAAAAAUGCCAAAAAAGAGUACAUUGUGGAAGCGGAUCACAUGCAUCAUGAUGAUCCGCGCCGGACGCGACAACCGCGACAUCAUGCAGUGCGUGCAGUGUUCGCUGAACACGGUGAAGGCGAUCCGGAGUGAGAAAACAGCGACGACGACGAAGCGGUGGCAGCACGAAAACCACAUUCUCAGCGGCGGGAUUGCGUGCGGACCGACGCUUUCCUGGCUGACCUCCAGGCGCGCGUGAUGGAAAAUCCGGGGAUCGGAAUUCGGCCGUUGGCACGUGAGAUGGGGGUGGCACCAUCCACGAUGAAAAUGGCCCUGAAUGAGGACCUCCGGCACUUCUAUUACAAGCGCCGAAGAGGUGAGUUGUUGACAGAGAAGGGCCGCGAGCGUCGGUUGGGGAACGCCAAGAAGCUGCUCAACUUGCUAAAGCAUCCCGUGGAGCCUGGCACGGCUUCACCGCGCCGAAUGUGUGGCCUCCCAGCUCCCCGGAUCUUAAUCCAAUGGAUUAUUUAGUGUGGGGCGCGGUGGAACGGGACACCAACAGAACCUCCAGCAACACCAAGGCAGAGCUAAUGGCGAAAAUCCGUUUUCGCGGCCCUACCCCGCGAAACUGUCGCCAGGGUUUGUUCCCGGUUCUGGAGACGGGUGGAGGCCGUAAUAGAAGCCGAGGGCGGAUAUUUUGAAUAAAAUGAAUAAAAUACAUGGUGACUGUCAAAAUUAUCCCGAACGCUGUAUGCAUUCUUUAGAUUUUCGGAUGUUUUAUAUGAGCUAACUGAUGAAAAAACGACAAAAAAGGCUUUACAAAUAUUGCUUUUUGGGGGGGUUAGCUUCAUGACACUAACGUGUAAAGACUUUACCCCGUGGCAAAGAUGUUUUUCAUCUGCUAUCAAUUGUUGAUUAACAGAUGUCAUCACACAACCUUAAAAAUGGGUUACCGGAAGUUAUGGACCAACCAGCCACUGGAGAAGGCAUACAAAUCUGCGAAGAACGGAUUUUCUUGUUUCCUGGUUUUUCCCGGAAAAAUAAAAUUCCCGGCUAAUUCCCGGUAUUCCCGGGUGAGUGGCCACCCUAUGUAUUGUGAUGUGACGGAUAAUGUACAUGUUAGACCGUAUGUGCCAGAGAAGUUACGGUUACAAGUUCUUAGCAACAUCCAUUGCCUUUCUCAUCCCGGUGUUCGAGCAAAGAGAAAAAUGGUUGCGCGAAGGUUUGUUUGGCCCUCAAUCAAUCGAGACGUCGCCCGCUACGUCAGAUCUUGUAUCAUCGAACGUUAAAAACUUCGUUAACCUGUGUCGAUUCGAAACGCUGGUGCGAUAAACCGCCGUUGGUCCUGCUCGGUUAGCGAACUGCUAUCAGGGAAGAUAUCGAUUGUUCUGUUGCCGAGAUGACACAUGGACAGCCACUACGAAUACCUGACGGAAAUGCGUCGUUCAGAGUUUGCCAAACUGCUUUGCCGUACCAUGAAACAAAUCGAACCAAUCAGAAACUCACAUCAUGUCAAACGUUCGGUGUUUGUUACGAAGGACUUAAUUGCAAAAGCGUUUUUAUUCGAAUUGAUUCAGUCAAGCGGCCUCUUACACACCCAUACGAGGGACCUUUCCAAAUAAUCGAAAGGCAUGAAAAGUAUUUGAACAUAUAUAUGAACGGUGAGAAACGAAGGAUUUCGAUCGAACAUAUUAAACCAGCAUGUAUUUGCGAAAAUGAUUCGAAUGAGGAUGAUGAAAGAAUAAAAGUUACGCCAUCCGGUCACUGUGUUCGGUUCUUGGCGUAACUCUGUGAGGGGGACUCUGUGGUAAAUUGCUUAUAGCAAUAUUUUAAUUGUAAUCAAGUAGCCAUUGGUUACAGAAACUGCACUGAAUGUCGAAUAAAUGUAGUUAGUCUUAAUUCACUCUUA